rnacentral:rRNA from 1 species
UACGGAGGGUGCGAGCGUUAAUCGGAAUUACUGGGCGUAAAGGGUGCGUAGGUGGUCUGAUAAGUUAUCUGUGAAAUCCCUGGGCUCAACCUGGGCAGGUCAGAUAAUACUGUUAGACUCGAGUAUGGGAGAGGGUAGUGGAAUUUCCGGUGUAGCGGUGAAAUGCGUAGAGAUCGGAAGGAACACCAGUGGCGAAGGCGGCUACCUGGCCUAAUACUGACACUGAGGCACGAAAGCGUGGGGAGCAAACAGG